rnacentral:rRNA from 1 species
UACGGGGGGGGUAAGCGUUGUUCGGAAUUACUGGGCGUAAAGGGCGCGUAGGCGGUCAGCACAAGUCAGUUGUGAAAUCUCCGAGCUUAACUCGGAAAGGUCAACUGAUACUGUGCGACUAGAGUGCAGAAGGGGCAACUGGAAUUCUCGGUGUAGCGGUGAAAUGCGUAGAUAUCUGGAGGAACACCGGUGGCGAAGGCGGCGUCCUGGACCAAUACUGACACUGAGUGAGCGAAAGCCAGGGGAGCAAACGGG